rnacentral:rRNA from 1 species
UACAGAGGGUCUCAAGCGUUGUUCGGAUUCAUUGGGCGUAAAGGGUGCGUAGGCGGCGCGGUAAGUCAGGGGUGAAAUCCUGGAGCUCAACUCCAGAACUGCCUUUGAUACUGGCGACCUUGAGUUCGGGAGAGGUGAGUGGAACUUGCGAGUGUAGAGGUGAAAUUCGUAGAUAUUCGCAAGAACACCAGUGGCGAAGGCGGCUCACUGGCCCGAUACUGACGCUGAGGUGCGAAAGCGUGGGAGCAAACAGG